CGGAAGUUAAGCUCUUCAGCGCCGAUGGUACUGCAUGGGAGACUGUGUGGGAGAGUAGGUCGCCGCCGGCC
rnacentral:rRNA from 1 species